rnacentral:lncRNA from 1 species
AAUGAAUGAUUUUUGUUUGCCUUGUGAAUGAACUACCAAAAAAGAAGAUAACAAGAAACAAAUUGUUUGGAAAGUUAAGUCUUCUGUCUUAAUGAGUAAAGGUUUUUGCCUUGUUUUAAAAUAUUUGAGUCAUAUUUUGGCUAAAUAAAAAACUUAAGGUAAUCUGGAGUUCUAUUUAAUAAUAUGAAGUGUUUAAAUCUCUAAAAUAUUUAACAGGCUUCUACAAAUUAAACUUCAGCUUCAAAAGUUGUGUUUUUUCUGACCCCUAAACUUUUGAAUGCUACAGAGGCCCCUGGAGCAUCCAAAAGAGAGGUGAACAGGGCUAUUUCACAUGCUGAGUUACAUGGGAUUGCCAAAAUAAAAAUAAGGUUUAAUCUUCUUCAAGUUAUAUUUUAGUGAGUAUUAAUAUAUGUUUCAAAAUUUUAUGGCAUUUAUAAAAUUCUAAUGUCUGUGUAUAUGCUACCAAUCAUAAUAAAGGAUAUAAUGUUAAGUUAUUGUAAAUCGCAGAUACAACCUAAUUUCUUUGUCAAUCAUGUUUUUGACUGUAACUCCUCUGGACAUUUUGUAACUCACAGACAAUUGCUGUCUUGCUUGAUCCUUUACAAAAGAUGGUUUAUAAUCAGCUCUAGGACUUCAGCAGGUGCUGUCAAAUGCAGGUUUCUGAUAACUUUGGAUGUUGUGAUAAUGGCAUAGAGGAAAAAUGUACAGGACUCAUGAAGAGCUGUGAUGUUCAUGAAUAUCAAGCAGAGCAAAAAGUCAAGGAAAAUUUGAGCUAUCUGCAACUUUUAAAAAUUGAGUAAAGUAUAUUCCUGUGAAUAAAAUUUGAAGGUAGUUGUUUCUCCUUACCUGGUUUCUCCAGAAUUUGGAAACUAUUUGCCAUCAAACUCCAAAUGUUCAUGCAACUGGAGCCUCAUAUUAUGGCUGCCAUUUACCAGAGACCCUUAGAUAGGCAUAUGAGAGAGAUCUGACUGCUCUCUUUCCAAAACAGCUUACCUGUCAGCAGAAAGCAGAUAAGAGUGAUCACCAUCCUUUUCCUAAGGGCAGUGUACCUCUUGAUAGGGGAAAAUUAAUAGUGGCAGGAGACAGACAAAUGCCUAGGCAGAUAGGGGCACUUCCCUGGUAAAACCCUACCUUCAAGCCAAAAACAGCCUGAAGACUGAAAAACCAGACUGCUGGUUCCUGAUGAAAAACACAACCUGGAGUGAGAAAUUCUGUUUCUGUUUUCCUGCCCUUUUCCAUUUGGUUAUUUCUGAAUUAUACUUUUUAAUCAAUUGAAUGUUGCUUUUUCCAAGACUACCUAUGGCCUGCCCCACCCCCAUCCUGUGCCUACAAAAACUCCAGACUCAGCCAUCCUGGGGGAGAAACGACCUGAUUGCAGGAGUGGGGGACCACUCCUGUGUGCCCUCUCCCCGAGAGCUGUUCCGUUGCUCAAUAAAAUUAUUAUAGCAUGGUACUGGUACCAAAAUAGACAUACAGAUCAAUGGAACAGAACUGAGCCCUCAGAAAUAACGCCGCAUAUCUACAACUAUCUGAUCUUUGACAAACCUGAGAAAAACAAGCAAUGGGGAAAGGAUUCCCUAUUUAAUAAAUGGUGCUGGGAAAACUGGCUAGCCAUAUGUAGAAAGCUGAAACUGGAUCCCUUCCUUACACCUCAUACAAAAAUUAAUUCAAGAUGGAUUAAAGACUUAAACAUUAGACCUAAAACCAUAAAAACCCUAGAAGAAAACCUAGGCAUUA